GGGUUGUGAGGUUAAGCGACUAAGCGUACACGGUGGAUGCCCUGGCAGUCAGAGGCGAUGAAGGACGUGCUAAUCUGCGAUAAGCGUCGGUGAGGUGAUAUGAACCGUUAUAACCGGCGAUUUCCGAAUGGGGAAACCCAGUGUGUUUCGACACACUAUCAUUAACUGAAUCCAUAGGUUAAUGAGGCGAACCGGGGAACUGAAACAUCUAAGUACCCCGAGGAAAAGAAAUCAACCGAGAUUCCCCCAGUAGCGGCGAGCGAACGGGGAGGAGCCCAGAGCCUGAAUCAGUGUGUGUGUUAGUGGAAGCGUCUGGAAAGGCGCGCGAUACAGGGUGACAGCCCCGUACACAAAAAUGCACAUAUUGUGAGCUCGAUGAGUAGGGCGGGACACGUGGUAUCCUGUCUGAAUAUGGGGGGACCAUCCUCCAAGGCUAAAUACUCCUGACUGACCGAUAGUGAACCAGUACCGUGAGGGAAAGGCGAAAAGAACCCCGGCGAGGGGAGUGAAAAAGAACCUGAAACCGUGUACGUACAAGCAGUGGGAGCCUCUUAAUGGGGUGACUGCGUACCUUUUGUAUAAUGGGUCAGCGACUUAUAUUCUGUAGCAAGGUUAACCGAAUAGGGGAGCCGAAGGGAAACCGAGUCUUAACUGGGCGUUAAGUUGCAGGGUAUAGACCCGAAACCCGGUGAUCUAGCCAUGGGCAGGUUGAAGGUUGGGUAACACUAACUGGAGGACCGAACCGACUAAUGUUGAAAAAUUAGCGGAUGACUUGUGGCUGGGGGUGAAAGGCCAAUCAAACCGGGAGAUAGCUGGUUCUCCCCGAAAGCUAUUUAGGUAGCGCCUCGUGAAUUCAUCUCCGGGGGUAGAGCACUGUUUCGGCAAGGGGGUCAUCCCGACUUACCAACCCGAUGCAAACUGCGAAUACCGGAGAAUGUUAUCACGGGAGACACACGGCGGGUGCUAACGUCCGUCGUGAAGAGGGAAACAACCCAGACCGCCAGCUAAGGUCCCAAAGUCAUGGUUAAGUGGGAAACGAUGUGGGAAGGCCCAGACAGCCAGGAUGUUGGCUUAGAAGCAGCCAUCAUUUAAAGAAAGCGUAAUAGCUCACUGGUCGAGUCGGCCUGCGCGGAAGAUGUAACGGGGCUAAACCAUGCACCGAAGCUGCGGCAGCGACACUAUGUGUUGUUGGGUAGGGGAGCGUUCUGUAAGCCUGUGAAGGUGGCCUGUGAGGGUUGCUGGAGGUAUCAGAAGUGCGAAUGCUGACAUAAGUAACGAUAAAGCGGGUGAAAAGCCCGCUCGCCGGAAGACCAAGGGUUCCUGUCCAACGUUAAUCGGGGCAGGGUGAGUCGACCCCUAAGGCGAGGCCGAAAGGCGUAGUCGAUGGGAAACAGGUUAAUAUUCCUGUACUUGGUGUUACUGCGAAGGGGGACGGAGAAGGCUAUGUUGGCCGGGCGACGGUUGUCCCGGUUUAAGCGUGUAGGCUGGUUUUCCAGGCAAAUCCGGAAAAUCAAGGCUGAGGCGUGAUGACGAGGCACUACGGUGCUGAAGCGACAAAUGCCCUGCUUCCAGGAAAAGCCUCUAAGCAUCAGGUAACAUCAAAUCGUACCCCAAACCGACACAGGUGGUCAGGUAGAGAAUACCAAGGCGCUUGAGAGAACUCGGGUGAAGGAACUAGGCAAAAUGGUGCCGUAACUUCGGGAGAAGGCACGCUGAUAUGUAGGUGAAGCGACUUGCUCGUGGAGCUGAAAUCAGUCGAAGAUACCAGCUGGCUGCAACUGUUUAUUAAAAACACAGCACUGUGCAAACACGAAAGUGGACGUAUACGGUGUGACGCCUGCCCGGUGCCGGAAGGUUAAUUGAUGGGGUUAGCGGUAACGCGAAGCUCUUGAUCGAAGCCCCGGUAAACGGCGGCCGUAACUAUAACGGUCCUAAGGUAGCGAAAUUCCUUGUCGGGUAAGUUCCGACCUGCACGAAUGGCGUAAUGAUGGCCAGGCUGUCUCCACCCGAGACUCAGUGAAAUUGAACUCGCUGUGAAGAUGCAGUGUACCCGCGGCAAGACGGAAAGACCCCGUGAACCUUUACUAUAGCUUGACACUGAACAUUGAGCCUUGAUGUGUAGGAUAGGUGGGAGGCUUUGAAGUGUGGACGCCAGUCUGCAUGGAGCCGACCUUGAAAUACCACCCUUUAAUGUUUGAUGUUCUAACGUGGGCCCCUUACCGGGGUUGCGGACAGUGUCUGGUGGGUAGUUUGACUGGGGCGGUCUCCUCCUAAAGAGUAACGGAGGAGCACGAAGGUUGGCUAAUCCUGGUCGGACAUCAGGAGGUUAGUGCAAUGGCAUAAGCCAGCUUGACUGCGAGCGUGACGGCGCGAGCAGGUGCGAAAGCAGGUCAUAGUGAUCCGGUGGUUCUGAAUGGAAGGGCCAUCGCUCAACGGAUAAAAGGUACUCCGGGGAUAACAGGCUGAUACCGCCCAAGAGUUCAUAUCGACGGCGGUGUUUGGCACCUCGAUGUCGGCUCAUCACAUCCUGGGGCUGAAGUAGGUCCCAAGGGUAUGGCUGUUCGCCAUUUAAAGUGGUACGCGAGCUGGGUUUAGAACGUCGUGAGACAGUUCGGUCCCUAUCUGCCGUGGGCGCUGGAGAACUGAGGGGGCUGCUCCUAGUACGAGAGGACCGGAGUGGACGCAUCACUGGUGUUCGGGUUGUCAUGCCAAUGGCACUGCCCGGUAGCUAAAUGCGGAAGAGAUAAGUGCUGAAAGCAUCUAAGCACGAAACUUGCCCCGAGAUGAGUUCUCCCUGACUCCUUGAGAGUCCUGAAGGAACGUUGAAGACGACGACGUUGAUAGGCCGGGUGUGUAAGCGCAGCGAUGCGUUGAGCUAACCGGUACUAAUGAACCGUGAGGCUUAACCUUACAACGCCGAAG
rnacentral:rRNA from 1 species